UACGAACUGUGCGAACGUUAUUCGGAAUCACUGGGCUUAAAGGGUGCGUAGGCGGCGAUGAAGGUCAGAUGUGAAAUCCCACGGCUCAACCGUGGAACUGCGUUUGAAACCGCAUCGCUUGAGGAAGUCAGAGGUAAGCGGAACUGAUGGUGAAGCGGUGAAAUGCGUUGAUAUUAUCAGGAACACCGGUGGCGAAAGCGGCUUACUGGGACUUUUCUGACGCUGAGGCACGAAAGCUAGGGGAGCGAACGGG
rnacentral:misc_RNA from 1 species